ensembl:snoRNA SNORD116 Small nucleolar RNA SNORD116
GGAUCGAUGAUGACACCCCAGUUACAUUCCUUGGAGCUGAACAAAAUGAGUGAAAACUCUAAACCGUCUCUCUCAUCAUGACUGAGGUCC